rnacentral:rRNA from 1 species
UACGUAGGGAGCAAGCGUUGUCCGGAAUCAUUGGGCGUAAAGCGCGCGUAGGUGGCCUCAUAAGUCCGCUGUGAAAGUCAAAGGCUCAACCUUUGAAAGCCGGUGGAUACUGUGAGGCUAGAGUACGGAAGAGGCGAGUGGAAUUCCUGGUGUAGCGGUGGAAUGCGCAGAUAUCAGGAGGAACACCAAUAGCGAAGGCAGCUCGCUGGGACGUUACUGACACUGAGGCGCGAAAGCCAGGGGAGCGAACGGG